rnacentral:rRNA from 1 species
UACGUAGGGUGCAAGCGUUGUCCGGAAUUAUUGGGCGUAAAGAGCUCGUAGGCGGUCUGUCGCGUCGGCUGUGAAAACCUAGGGCUCAACCCUGGGCCUGCAGCCGAUACGGGCAGACUAGAAUUCGGUAGGGGAGACUGGAAUUCCUGGUGUAGCGGUGAAAUGCGCAGACAUCAGGAGGAACACCGGUGGCGAAGGCGGGUCUCUGGGCCGAUAUUGACGCUGAGGAGCGAAAGCGUGGGGAGCGAACAGG